GGGUAAGCCCUUCUCUUAGAGCUGAAGGAGGACCGGGAGGAUGAGGCAGAGGGAGGACCUCCGGGGGACAGAAAGCUCCAGGCAGCCUGUCACCAUCUCUGCAGAAAGUUCCCUGCUGCCUCAGGGCCUGAAGGAUGGACCCGAGUUUUCCACCCAGCACAUCCUAUGAAAUGGUACCUCCAGUCUCCAAGGAAAAGGAUUUAUCAUGCAGCACACCAACUGACAUGAUCUGUGUAAAACUGAGGAGAAAGCACCUC